rnacentral:rRNA from 1 species
GAGUUUGAUCAUGGCUCAGGACGAACGCUGGCGGCGUGCUUAACACAUGCAAGUCGAACGGUAAGGCCCCUUUUUUGGGGUGUACGAGUGGCGAACGGGUGAGUAACACGUGAGUAACCUGCCCCAGACUUUGGGAUAACAGUUGGAAACGAUUGCUAAUACUGGAUAUGAGCUGCUGCCGCAUGGUGGUGGUUUGAAAGUUCCGGCGGUUUGGGAUGGGCUCGCGGCCUAUCAGCUUGUUGGUGAGGUGAUGGCUUACCAAGGCUUCGACGGGUAGCCGGCCUGAGAGGGCGACCGGCCACAUUGGGACUGAGAUACGGCCCAAACUCCUACGGGAGGCAGCAGUGGGGAAUAUUGCACAAUGGACGGAAGUCUGAUGCAGCAACGCCGCGUGCGGGAUGACGGCCUUCGGGUUGUAAACCGCUUUCAUCCAUGACGAAGCUUUUGUGACGGUAGUGGGUAAAGAAGCACCGGCUAACUACGUGCCAGCAGCCGCGGUGAUACGUAGGGUGCGAGCGUUGUCCGGAUUUAUUGGGCGUAAAGAGCUUGUAGGCGGUUUGUCGCGUCGGGAGUGAAAACUCGGAGCUUAACUUUGAGCUUGCUUUCGAUACGGGCUGACUUGAGGGAGGUAGGGGAGAAUGGAAUUCCUGGUGGAGCGGUGGAAUGCGCAGAUAUCAGGAGGAACACCGGUGGCGAAGGCGGUUCUCUGGACCUUUCCUGACGCUGAGAAGCGAAAGCGUGGGGAGCGAACAGGCUUAGAUACCCUGGUAGUCCACGCCGUAAACGGUGGGUACUAGGUGUGGGGGACAUUCCACGCUCUCCGUGCCGUAGCUAACGCAUUAAGUACCCCGCCUGGGGGAGUACGGCCGCAAAGGCUAAAACUCAAAGGGAAUUGACGGGGCCCCCGCACGAAGCGGCGGAGCAUGCGGAUUAAUUCGAUGCAAACGCGAAGAACCUUACCUGGGUUUGACAUAUGCCGGGAGCGUUUCAGAGAUGGGCGUGCCUUUUUGGUCGGUUUACAGGUGGUGCAUGGCUGUCGUCAGCUCGUGUCGUGAAAUGUUGGGGUAAAUCC